rnacentral:rRNA from 1 species
UGUAAAGUUCAAGCUCCGAUUAUGAGGGCGAAACCGCGAAUGGCUCAUUAAAUCAGUCAUAAUCUACUUGAUUGUUUAAAGUUUAUAUGGAUAACUGUGGUAAUUCUAGAGCUAAUACAUGCACAAAUGGGGCGACUCUUUUUAACGAAAGAGAAGCUCUGCGUUUAUUAGACUAAGACCAAUGAUUGUAGCAAUACAAUCUUAAUUAAGGUGACUCUGAGUAAAUAAUGGGUGAAAGCCCAUGUUGCUGACCUGACAUACCAAAAAGCUAGCAAUAGCUUGUCAGGCAAAUCAAUCGAGUGUCUGCUCUAUCAACUGUGGAUGGUAGGAUAAUUGCCUACCAUGGUGAUGACGGGUAACGGGGAGUUAGGGCUCGACUCCGGAGAACAAGCCUGAGAAACGGCUAGUAGGACUAAGGUCUGCAGCAGGCGCGAAACUUACACAAUGCUAGAUUACAAUUAGCGAUGUAGUGAAGAAAAAUAACGAUGUACUUCCAUUUAAACAUGGUAGUACAAUUGGAAUGAGACGACUAUAAAUCAGUUAGUCGAGUAACAAAUGGAGGGCAAGUCUGGUGCCAGCAGCCGCGGUAAUUCCAGCUCCAUUAGCAUACAUUAAAGUUGUUGCGGUUAAAAAGCUCGUAGUUGAAUUUUAGGCGGGCUCUAUUGGGGUGCAAUCGUUAAGGUUUUUAUUUUGUUCCCCUAACCGGGACUAAUUUAAACUGGUUGUCACCUUCCAUUAGGAACCCGCUGUUUCGUCACUUAAUCGAGUGCGAAGCAAGCUAAAAUAGCCAGAUAUCUUCGGGAUCAUCUCUACAUUAGCAUGUUUACCUUGAGAAAAUUAGAGUGCUCACAGCAGGCAGUUGGGGUGUAAAAGCUCCUUUAUGCUUGAAUAAUGUUGCAUGGAAUAAUAGAAUAUGGCCUCGGUUCUAUUCUGUUGGUCUUAUAGAACAACAAACAAGUUGGUUAAAGCGAUCAAAAGUCCAUUUGUGGAUGUGAUUUUUAAGUAAAUUCUGUUGCUUGGGGCCUUAAAAUCUCAACGCCUGGUUUACAUCAAAAUCAUCAAAAGCAUCUCUUGUGUGGCUAGCUUUCUAAUCAACUGAGGCAAUGGUUAAAAGAAAUAGUCGCGGCGGCAUCAGUACUGCAUCGUGAGAGGUGAAAUUCUUAGACCGAUGCAAGACUAACUGAAGCGAAAGCGUUUGCCGAGGAUAUUUUCAUUAAUCAAGAACGAAAGUUAGAGGUUCGAAGGCGAUCAGAUACCGCCCUAGUUCUAACCAUAAACGUUGCCAACUAGCAAUUGGGUUGCGAUUCCUUUAAUCGAAGCUUAAAACACUUCGAUCAUUAUGAUCCACCCAGCGGCUCUCGUAGGGAAACCAAAGUGUUUGGGUUCCGGGGGAAGUAUGAUUGCAAAGUUGAAACUUAAAGGAAUUGACGGAAGGGCACCACCAGGAGUGGAGCCUGCGGCUUAAUUUGACUCAACACGGGGAAACUUACUAGAUUAGAACUCUGGAAUGAUUGACAGAUUGAUAGCUCUUUCUUGAUUCAGAGGAUGGUGGUGCAUGGCCGUUCUUGAUUCGUAUUCCGAAACGUCUGCUUAAUUGCGAUAACGAGUGAGACCUCACCCAACUAACUAGUCGUUUGGUGCGCUGUGGGACGCAAAAGUUCCUGGUAGAAGGGUGCUUGUGGAAGCUGGGUUCACGCCUAUCCUCUCUUGUAUCGUCUAUCAUGGAAUGUCCUCUGCUCGCCAGCGGACUUCUUAGAGGGAUAAACGGUGUUUUAGCCGUAAGAAACGAGGCAAUAACAGGUCUGUGAUGCCCUUAGAUACUCUAGGCCGCACGCGUGCUACAAUGGCGUGUGCAGAAAGCUUGUUCGAGGUUUGUCUAAAGAGAACUACCUGUUUGGUUAGUGUAAUGGUAGCAAUAUUGUUGCAUUGAUCGGUAGGAAAGUGACUUUAGUUAGCAGGCCGAGAGAAACCGUAGUCGAAAGAUUACGGCAAUCAAAAAUACACGCCGUGAUUUGGGAUUGGGGAUUGCAAUUGUUGCCCAUGAACGAGGAAUUCCCAGUAAGCGCAAUUCAUCAUAUUGCGUUGAUUACGUCCCUGCCCUUUGUACACACCGCCCGUCGCUACUACCGAUUGGAAGUUUUAGUGAGGCAUUUGGACCUGCCAUCCAAAGGGGAGGCAACUCCUCUGGGACAGCGGGGAAGUCUGUCGAACUCAAAUUUCUAGAGGAAGUAAAAGUCGUAACAAGGUUUCCGU